rnacentral:SRP_RNA from 1 species
GGAGGCUGGCGGUGGACGAGCUCCUCGCCAACCGGGUCAGGUCGGGAACGAAGCAGCCCUAACGAGUUUUAUGGUUCGGGUCGCUGUCCAGUCUCCACU